CGCGUCGCCGGGGCAACCGUCCAGCUGGAGGAAAUGACAUCAUCCCGCUGGGUCCUGGGGGAGGCGGCGCCUUGGCCGCGGGGGCUUCCGUUGUUGCCUAGGAGACGGGACCGGUCCAGCUUCCACUCGCGCGCCCAGAGCAUCGAUUGAGCCGGUGGCACGAGGGCCUCCAUCCGCACCUGCUGCGUGAGCCUUAGUUUUGCCACAAAUAGGACGUGAAGCCUGUGACUCGGCCUGGCCGAAUGGUGUGCGGACGAAUGGGACAGGAGAGCACGGCGAUGACGUUUGCAGACGCGGGAGUCUGACUGCAGAUUGCCUGAAGAAAAGCCAAAGAAAUGGUCUUAAUUGCUCUUGAAGGCAAUGAUGGAUGAAGGAAAGACAGACUGACAAUUUCCAUAGCUGCUCCAAGAUGGAUUUCAUCUCCAAAUGUUUAGAAACACCCUAAAGAAAUGAAGAAUCCACAUGUGACAACAUAAAUGAAACUGGAGGUCAUUAUGUGAUGUGAAAUAAACCAGACACAAAAAGACAAAUACUUCAUACUUCAUGAUCUCACUUACAUGUGGAAUUUAAAAAGUUAAACUUACAGGAUGGUGAUUGCCAGAGGCUGGGGUUGAGGAAAUGGGAAACUAUUGGUAUAGGGUACAAAAUUAUUCAUUUAUGAGUAAGUUCUGGGCAAUGUACAGCAUGGUGACUAUAGUAAGUAAUACUAUUUUGUAUGCUUGAAAUUUGCUAAGUGAAUAGAUUGUAAGUGUUCUACACACACACACACACACACACACACACACACACACACAUACCAAGGUAACUCUGGGAUGUGUUGAUUAAUUUAUUGUGGUAAUGUAUAUAAAAUUAUUUGAUAUACAGUCCCC